GUAUUGUGAAUUCACUCUCUGAGGUGGUGGGCUCUCCAGAACUGGAUCAUUGCCCUUUAUGUACCUCAAAGGGUCGGCACUCUCACUCGAUAUCAAACCAUUCCCAGCGACAGGGACCAUCUUUUAUUGGUGUAUAUGUUAUUGGUGUGUCUAGGACAACACCUGGUGGUUUUGUAUGUGCUGAGUGUGCUGCAUGGAAUACAACUAGUGCAUUCCCGUGGGUGCAAGUUGCUCUCUCCGAGUGAACUCAGAUUAAGCUAGUGAGGAUUUGUUAUGUUGGUGUUCAUUAUAAGUAAGAUGAGACAAGAGUAGCUGAAAGGGUUAGGUUUAGAUUAGAAUUCCGGCCAGGUUAGAUUUUAGAAAAGAUUUGAGAAGUUAGGUUAAGGAUAGAAAAAGGUUAGGUAUAAGAGGAAGGAUCCAAGGGGUCAGCAGAGAAGAGGGAAAGGUCAAAGGUUAGGGUUGGGAUAAGAAGAGUGGUUAAGUUUAGAUAAAAGAAGUAAGAA